CUUUCUCCAGAGUACCUAGAGAAUUUCUACUCACCUAGCAUUCUUGGUGAAUUCUCAGUGCACAAUACUAUCUGUUACACAUGGAUACCAGCAAUAAUACAUGCGGGGGCUCCGGCAGAAGAGACAAGCAAGCUCUGUGCUCAUCUGCAUUCUGAGUCUCAUCCUGCAACGGAGUUUCUGCUCACGCUGUAGUCACCAUGGUCAGCAAUUAAAACAAAGUUUCUUUGCGGUUUCAUCCAUCAUACAGAGUUGUCAUAGCGAUUAAUUAAACCAUGAUCCCCACUGCUUUUGCAGUUACGAGGAUGGUGUCUGUCACAGAGUAGCCAGUCAAAAAAUACUCUUGAAGGAAUUGAUUAUGAAGAGCACUCUCUGAAUCAGUUGACCACAAGUGUUCCCAAGGUGGACUCAGCAAUGAUGCCAGCCUAGAUGGUCUGCACCAAGGACUUCUCCAAAGAGUUGACAAGGAGAAACUACAUCUCAGAGCAGUCCACAAGUGGGAGAAAGGAAAGAAACAUCUGCCUGUUUCUCACUUUCCAAUAAUCAAGAUUUAACACACUGGAAGCAAAUUCUCCUGAACUUCUGAGUUUUCUCAUCUGGCCCCAUCAAGGAUGAGAGUCAAUUUGGUAUAGGUGAAGCAAUA